GGCUGGAUCACCUCCUUUCUAAGGAGCUAGAGGACUAGAUCCUCCAAGCUUACCUAGGUCAUUCGCAAACACACACAACUGCUAUUCGGUUUUGAGAGACCAGAAGUCAUCUUCUGGUUUUUUGCUCUUUACAACUUUACGUGAUCGUGGAUAUGGCGUUCACACGAUUUGAUGGGCUUGUAGCUCAGUUGGCUAGAGCACACGACUGAUAAUCGUGAGGUCGCUGGUUCGAGUCCAGCCAGGCCCACCAACCUAAUUGGGGGUGUAGCUCAGCUGGGAGAGCACCUGCCUUGCACGCAGGGGGUCAUCGGUUCGAACCCGUUCACCUCCACCAAUAAAGACAGUUCAAGGUUCGUAGUUCUAGGUUCGUAGUUAACCUUGAACCCCGAACAUGGAACCCGGAACUGGUUUUUGUUCUUUGACAAUUGCAUAGUGGAUAGUAAGUUUAGGUAACAAAGGCGUAUGAAGUGCUCGUGCGUUUUUGUUGAAAUUGUAUGUUAAUAGAUUUGAUUUGAUUUUUUAUGGUCAAGCUAUUAAGGGGGCGUACGGUGGAUGCCUAGGCAGAGAGAGGCGAUGAAGGACGUGGUAAACUGCGAUAAGCUUCGGUGAGCCGUUAAACAGGCUUUGACCCGGAGAUUUCCGAAUGGGGAAACCCGGCAGGGGUAAUGCCCUGUCACUGUGUACUGAAUACAUAGGUACAUAGGGCGAACGAGGGGAACUGAAACAUCUAAGUACCCUCAGGAGAAGAAAACAAUAGUGAUUCCGUCAGUAGCGGCGAGCGAACGCGGAGGAGCCUAAACCAAUACCACCUCGGUGGUAUCGGGGUUGCGGGACCUUAACAUGUGAUUGAUGAAGGGUAGCUGAGCGGUCUGGAAAGGCCGGCCAUAGUGGGUGAUAGCCCCGUAAGCGAAACUCUGAUUCACGCUAGAGGUAUCCCAAGUACCGCGGGACACGAGAAAUCCCGUGGGAAUCCAGGAGGACCAUCUCCUAAGGCUAAAUACUCCUCUCUGACCGAUAGUGAACCAGUACCGUGAGGGAAAGGUGAAAAGUACUCCGAUAAGGAGGGUGAAAUAGAACCUGAAACCGUAUGCCUACAAGCAGUGGGAGCACCAUGUAUAUCAGGUGUGACCGCGUGCCUUUUGCAUAAUGAGUCAGCGAGUUACUCUUGCUAGCGAGGUUAAGUUCAUAGAACGGAGCCGAAGCGAAAGCGAGUCUUAACUGGGCGUCCAGUUAGCAGGAGUAGACCCGAAACCGGGUGAUCUAUCCAUGGCCAGGGUGAAAGGAAGGUAACACUUCGUGGAGGCCCGAACCCACUGGCGUUGAAAAGCCAGGGGAUGAGCUGUGGAUAGGAGUGAAAGGCUAAUCAAACUCGGAGAUAGCUGGUUUUCCUCGAAAUAUAUUUAGGUAUAGCCUCGCGUAUACGUGACGGGGGUAGAGCACUGGAUGGGCUAGGGGUCUCACCAGAUUACCAAACCCAAUCAAACUCGAAUACCGUCAACGAUCAGCGCGGGAGUCAGACGGCGGGUGAUAAGAUCCGUCGUCAAAAGGGAAAGAGCCCAGACCGUCAGCUAAGGUCCCCAAAUCAUGCUAAGUGGAAAACGAUGUGGAAAUGCCCAGACAACCAGGAGGUUGGCUUAGAAGCAGCCACCCUUUAAAGAAAGCGUAAUAGCUCACUGGUCGAGUGGAUCUGCGCGGAAAAUGUAACGGGGCUAAGCAUGGUACCGAAGCUACGGGUUGACGUCUUAAGGUGUCAGCGGUAGAGGAACAUUGUGUAAGCCUGUGAAGGUCGAUCGCGAGAACGGCUGGAGGUAUCACAAGAGAUUAUGCUGACAUGAGUAGCGAAAAUGCGGGCGAGAAACCCGCACACCGUAAACCCAAGGUUUCCUCCGUAAAGGUAAUUCUGCGGAGGGUUAGUCGGUCCCUAAGGCGAGGCCGAAAGGCGUAGUUGAUGGGAAACAGGUUAAUAUUCCUGUACCACCUGUUGUUGCGAUGGGGGGACGGAGAAGGGUAGGCGAGCCGGGUACUGGUUAUCCCGGUUUAAGCGUGUAGGGGGGGAGAGCAGGUAAAUCCACUUUCCCGUUAACCCUGAGACGUGAUGACGAGAGCGUAUGCUCACAAAGUCGUUGAUCCCAUGCUUCCAAGAAAAGCCUCUAAGCUUCAGACAGCAGGUGACCGUACCGUAAACCGACUCAGGUGGGUGAGGAGAAAAUCCUAAGGUGAUUGAGAUAACACUGGUUAAGGAACUCGGGCAAAAUGACACCGUAACUUCGGGAGAAGGUGUGCCCUCAUUAGGUCUAGCGAUUCGCACGUGAAGCCGAAGAGGGUCGCAGAGAAAUGGCGGUAGCGACUGUUUACUAAAAAACAUAGGUCUGUGCUAAGUCGUAAGACGAUGUAUACGGACUGACGCCUGCCCGGUGCUGGAAGGUUAAGGGGAUUUGUUAGCGCAAGCGAAGCUUUGAACCGAAGCCCCAGUAAACGGCGGCCGUAACUAUAACGGUCCUAAGGUAGCGAAAUUCCUUGUCGGGUAAGUUCCGACCUGCACGAAUGGCGUAACGAUUUCCGCGCUGUCUCAACCAGUGACUCAGCGAAAUUGAAUUCUCGGUGAAGAUGCCGAGUACCCGCGGUAAGACGGAAAGACCCCGUGAACCUUUACUAUAGCUUGACAGUGACAUUCGGAAUAGCUUGUGUAGGAUAGGUGGGAGACUUUGAAGCUGGCACGCCAGUGUCGGUGGAGUCGUCCUUGAAAUACCACCCUGGUUGUUUUGGAUGUCUAACCUUGGCCCGUCAUCCGGGUCGGGAACACUGUCUGGUGGGGUAGUUUGACUGGGGCGGUCGCCUCCCAAAGAGUAACGGAGGCGCG
rnacentral:misc_RNA from 1 species